GUUUUUUAUUUUUUUUAUUUUUCCUUACAGGUAUACAUUAAAUUUCUCUCUACUCAUCUACAACAGUGGUCCACCCAUCAUGCGAAGUAUGUCCUUUUUUUUCUGAUCAAUAAUUAAUAAUACAUUUAAUUAUUUCGCCCCCUUCAUGGUUUAGGUCUGGAUACGUCACUGACUUCACUCAGAAUCGUUUUUUGUUAGUAAUGAUUAACCACUGCGUACUGGAGGUAUACAUUAAAUUUCCCAUUUACCUUCCCAACUUUACACCUACAACAAUGGCCCACUCACCGUUUUUUUUUUUGGCAAUUACCAAAAAUAGUGUUGUAAGUGGGCGGUAAAAGUGCCCCUGAGCGCCAUAAAUGUAAAUAUGUCUGUCUAGACGUACUUUAACAGCCAUGUCUCAUGCUAAUAUUAUGAUGAGUGUGGAGCAUAAUGCAUAGAUCAUAAUUACUUGUAUGGCUGUGAUG